rnacentral:rRNA from 1 species
CCAGACUCCUACGGGAGGCAGCAGUGAGGAAUAUUGGUCAAUGGCCGGAAGGCUGAACCAGCCAAGCCGCGUGAAGGACGAAGGUGCCAAGCAUUGUAAACUUCUUUUGUCAAGGGACAAGAUCAGGCUCGAGAGCCUGACCGAGGGUACUUGAAGAAAAAGCAUCGGCUAACUCCGUGCCAGCAGCCGCGGUAAUACGGAGGAUGCGAGCGUUAUCCGGAUUUAUUGGGUUUAAAGGGUGCGUAGGCGGACUGUUAAGCCGGGGGUAAACGCCGGGGCCUCACCCCCGGCGAGCCGUUGAAACUGUGUCCCUUGAGUGCGCGAAGGGUAGGCGGAAUGCGUGGUGUAGCGGUGAAAUGCAUAGAUAUCACGCAGAACUCCGAUCGCGAAGGCAGCCUACCGGCGCGCUACUGACGCUCAUGCACGAAAGCGUGGGUAUCGAACAGGAUUAGAUACCCCUGUA